AGUUGUGGUAACAAAAGGCGCUAAAAUGGUAAAUUGUAUCACAAGCUCUGAAAAGGGAGAAACUAUUGCCGUUAUAACCUGGGUAAACUCAGAAGGAUUUUUUUUCCCACCCUGCUGCAUAUUUAAGGGCAAAAAUUCAAAACGGGAAUUCGAAGAUGGCCUACCACCUGGCGGCAAGGUUGUUAUGGGCGAAAAGUCAGCUUAUGUCACAUCUGAAAUUUUCUUCCAAUGGUUUAAAGACUUUUUCAUUCCGCGCGGAAAGGUACCGAUUUUGCUGUAGCGAAUGACGUGAUCCUGACGCCAGUUCCUGUAAGUCAUAAAAAUCUGGAAAAGCAACUUUAUAGACCUGAUACGGACAUGGUUUUUUUCUUGCCAUUUCUAUAACAACCCCGAUUCUUCGGUUGUGAAAAUUUUGCGAUGUUUACGUGCUCGUUCAAUAGUGGCGUGUAUUGAAUCUGCCUCUAGAUAGGAAUGGUCGGAUUCCAUGAACUUUAGAUCUACAAUUUGUAAGUGUUCAAUUUUAUUGACAGCAAACAACAUCGAUGCAGUAACAAAUUGAUUCCGAUUUUGCCCUCCGCAAGUAUCAGAAAAACUAGAAACAUGUGACACAGUCUGAGAGCCAUGAGUUUCAUCCCAAAGGAAACAGUGACCACUGUAAUCAAAAGAAUCAAAUAUGGUGAAAUUAAAAACAGAGAGCUUACGCUUGUAAUAGAUUUGAGAAUCAGCGGAAAAAGGGACUAACAAAAUAGCUUCUAAAUCAGAAGAAAUUGCUCGGUAGAUUGAGUCUUCUAAUGAUCUUUUUUUAUCUGCAUCUUUCAUCUCCAUUGCUUCUUUUUGUGAAGUUGCCAGCUUUCUUCCAAAUUAGUUUUGUCUGUAGCGCUAUAAUACACAUUGCAUGUGUGCACACAUUACAUUGGUCCUUUUUAGGGACAUGGAACGACAGUUGUUGAUCAUAACUAUUAAAUAUUUUUCGGUAAACAUUAAUAGAAACAGGAGGGAUUGAUUCACUUGUACAAUAAAUUUCAACAUACAAACGUUGCAUAACAGAUAAAUUCAAAUCAGCUGCCAAAUACAAUUUUUUCGU